rnacentral:rRNA from 1 species
AACGAACGCUGGCGGCAUGCCUAACACAUGCAAGUCGAACGAGACCUUCGGGUCUAGUGGCGCACGGGUGCGUAACGCGUGGGAACCUGCCCUUAGGUUCGGAAUAACUCCCCGAAAGGGGUGCUAACACCGGAUAAUGUCUUCGGACCAAAGAUUUAUCGCCUUUGGAUGGGCCCGCGUUGGAUUAGCUAGUUGGUAGGGUAAAAGCCUACCAAGGCGACGAUCCAUAGCUGGUCUGAGAGGAUGAUCAGCCACACUGGGACUGAGACACGGCCCAGACUCCUACGCGAGGCAGCAGUGGGGAAUAUUGGACACUGGGCGAAAGCCUGAUCCAGCAAUGCCGCGUGAGUGAUGCAGGCCGUAGGGUUGUAAAGCUCUUUUACCCGGGAUGAUAAUGACAGUACCGGGAGAAUAAGCGCCGGCUAACUCCGUG